rnacentral:rRNA from 1 species
CCUACGGGUGGCAGCAGUGAGGAAUAUUGGUCAAUGGCCGGAAGGCUGAACCAGCCAUGCCGCGUGAAGGUCAGUGCCCUAUGGGCGUUAAACUUCUUUUGUGCGGGAGCAAUAAUGGUCACGUGUGGCCAGACGAGAGUACCGUACGAAUAAGCAUCGGCUAACUCCGUGCCAGCAGCCGCGGUAAUACGGGGGAUGCAAGCGUUAUCCGGAGUUAUUGGGGUUUAAGGGUGCGUAGGCUGGGAGUUAAGUCAGCGGUGAAAUGCCCCCGCUCAACGGGGUGAAGUGCCAUUGAUACUGCCUUGCUGGAAUGCGAAUGCCGUGGGAGGAAUGUGUGGUGUAGCGGUGAAAUGCAUAGAUAUCACACAGAACACCGAUUGCGAAGGCAUCUCACGAAUCCGCGAUUGACGCUGAUGCACGAAAGCGUGGGUAUCAAACAGGAUUAGAUACCCGAGUAGUC